GUGGAGCUGAGAUUGUAGGAAAUUUGGAGUUAUAUUUUCCAGCCUCUCUGGCCAGCAGUCUCCACUACGUCUUGGGAAACAUAUAUCAAAUGGAGUUGAAGAGAAAAAGGGAGUGUGCAAACAACUGAACAACUAUUAGGCCAGCUUUCGGAGUUGGAGAGAACUGCAUGGAUCCCUGAACUGGAAGAACUGGGCUGUUGAACAGAGUGCGGACCAGCGUGGGUGCUCAGGACUAAGAAGGUACACUCUGCAAGGAGUCCUACAAAGAAAUACUAUACAGCAGAGAACAUGGAUGAACCACAGCUAGAGGAGCAAAUAUGGAUGCAUCUCAAAAUCAUGGUGUUGAAAAAAAGGAAUAGGUCACCAAAGAAGACAG